GUCAGUGCUGGACGAGGGAAGAAGGAGCGGCAGCGUCUUGUAGGUAGAGAUCGAGAUCUCUCUCCUCCCUCCCUUCCUCCUGGCGAGCUGUCAUGCUGCUGCUUGUCAGAACUAAGCAGUGAGCAGGCAGAAGGGAGAGGGAGCCGGGCGGCAGUAUGUUUUGUAGUGACUGUGUCCCCCACAGCAGUGAUGUCCUCUUUGUCAGCCACGGCAUGCAGGGGAGUCCUGGAAACUCAUGUGCUCUCAUACCAACAGGCAGAAAAGUUCCUCUCCCUGCAUGCACGGACUUCUGCUAUCAGGGAUAGCAGAAACGGAAAGUAAAACGCUUUCCCUGUACUGGAGUUUCUCCCUCCCCCUAUACAGGCUGAAGCACGGGAGUUCUCCUGUGUUCAGGGCUCAGGGCUUGGUGAGUUAACUCUAUGAAACCAAUGUUGUUAUACAAAGCAAUUGCUCAUGUGUAUAUUCUCAAUGUGUAUUUUACCAGAGCUAUAUAACAAACGAAAUGGCUGCACUCAGAGACUGCUCAGUGUAAAGAAAUUCUACUUUAUUCUGCUGAGUGUAAAAGAAAUGCUGCUUUAUUAAUAAAGCAGCAUUUCUUCACACUAAGCAGUCUCGGAGUGCCGCCAAUUCGUUUGUUAUAUCGGAUUCAUUCCUCGGAUGGCACCUGAGCAUUAUCACGUGGAUUUCAAAGGGCAAGUGCAGGGACUUCAUCUGUCUAUAUAUAUAUAUAUAUAUAUAUAUAAAAUAUAAUAUAUAUAUAUAUAUAAUUAGGGCUGCUCCCUGAAAUUUCCCGAGCUGGUUUUUCAUCCCAAUCCGCCCUUGGCUGUAUUAUUCAUAUAAAUGUCUCUGUCUAUAAAAUAUAUAUACUUUCUAAAACUACAUAGCAUAUAUCUGGAAACCCCCUCUUAGAAAUCCUGCAUUGGCCCCUGCUCUGUCAGCGCACCACUGUGCUCCCCCGUCCUCUCUUUCCCCGUAUGUCUCACGGUGUCUCCGCUGCCGACACAGUCAGUACACACCGACCCCUAUGCUCCCCGUCUUACUUUACCCGUGUAUCUAGCUAUCUAUUCUGUCUGCCAUACUGCAUAAAAAGGGGACACUGCUGUAAUGUGUAAAAAGGGGACACUGUCUGCCGUACUGUAUAAAAAGGGGGACGCUGGCUGCCGUACUGUGUAAAAAGGGGGACGCUGUGUGCCGUACUGUGUAAAAAGGGGACGCGGUCUGCCGUAAUGUGUAAAAAGGGGCCGCUGUCUGCCAUAAUGUGUAAAAAGGGGGACUGGCUGCCGUAAUGUGUAAAAAGGGUACGCUGUCUGCCGUAAUGUGUAAAAAGGGGGCCUGUCUGCCGUAAUGUGUAAAAGGGGCUCUACCUGGUGUAGUGGUGCUACUGUGCGGUGUAAUUUGAAUAAUGGAGACUACUGUGCACCGUUAUAUGAAUUGGUAUUAUUUUUAGCCACACCCCUUCCCCAUGAAGCCAUGCCCCUAUAUUUUUUGCGCGCGCCAACGGUGCGCACUAUCCCUCUUUUACAUAAGGUGGAGGGCGCCACUGCCAUUUCUUGCACACAGCGCUAAAAUGUCUAGUUACAGCACUGCCCCGUGUUCCCACUUCCUCUGUGUGUGUGUGUCCUAAUGUCCCCACAGCCAGCUGGGUCAGGUCAGAUGGUGUCUACCGGCACUGUCAGCAGUGGAUUAUAGAGUUGUUUGCUACUUGUCUAUAGGUCCCCAGUGUACCCGCGCCCUACCUGGAUCCUCUCGUUACACUGCAUCAUCGCCGGGUGUCCAGGUGAGCGCUGGUCAGGGGUCCAGGUGAGCAGGGAGUGCCAUGGAGAGGAGGAUCAUGGAUCCAUAAAAGGACUUUCUGGCAGCGGGGAUCAGUACAGUCACUGGGAGUCCCGCGGGAUGAGAGGGAUUGCUGUAAAGGCAGUACGCUGCUGCUUGGCAGCGUGAGAUAGGCAGGUCUGCAGGCACAGUGACCCCUGCUGAGUCUGCCCACCUGACAGGGACCUUGCGGGGAGGCAUCUGAAAAGAUCCCUCACCUGCACAAGCUGCCGCAUCAGCGAACAUUAUGACUGCAGUGCCUCACCAGCUACUGACCUCACCGCACACCACUGGUUAGUGGUCAUAAGGACAGUACUAGUGGUUCUUAAAAGGUGUCAAAUGGUUGAUUUUUACGUGUUUUCAGUAUUGGUGGAAAAGGCAGCAGGUGUCCUUAUGAAUAUUUUUCUGUACCUCAAAACAUUGUAAAGUGAUUUUUUUUUUCAGGGUUUGUAAAAAGCUGAAAAAGCAAAAACAAUUUCGCUUUUUCACAAGCUCAUAAACCCUGUUCCAACAAAACAACAUACCUGCCCCACAUCAUUUUCCCAUUAUUGAGGUUUUUAGAGAAAUUCAUGUACAAAAAUUUUUUUUAUUGGCCAAAUUAUACUACUUUAACUUCUCAAGGUUCUGAAGCUUUUACACCUGCUAAGGGGGCACACAGAAAAAAAAAUAUAGGGAAAUCCAAUGCAAAGUUUGAAAAAUGUAAUUGCAAAUGCAAUUUGCGGUGCAAAUUCGUCAUGAAAAUGUCAGACAUGACCCAAAUCACCCCUGUGAAUUGAUGGCUAAAGAGAAGAGUUAUGCGAUAGAAGUUACCUUACAUAUAAGACAUUUUGUGGGAAAAAUUUAUAAAAUGUCUCAUUUGACAGUGGUUUUUGUGACAAUACUGACACACAUAUCAAAGUGAGCGCAGCAUAGCCAAGCAGAUGGUGGCAAGAGUGGUCAUGUAGCUACCGUACCAAUCGUGCAGCAGCACACCAUCACUGGGGACUGGUACACCAACCAGUGCCUGCCGUAAGUGCUGGAAGCCAUUUCCAGGUGCCAUCCAAGAACUUGCUCUAUUAAGACAAUGCACCUGCCCACAAGUCAGGGAAAGUGGUGGAUUUUCUGAGCCAUGAAUGCAUUCAGGAGCUUGGUCAUCCGCUGUACAGUCCAGACCUAGCCCCCUUCAACCUCUUUGUGUUCCCACAAAUCAAGCAAAACAUGCAUGGGAUUCAUUUUGAGUCACCGUAAGCUGCAAUGGAGACCUUCGUCCAUCAUAUAGAAGACAUAUCUACUUCGGGCUGGUUCAGCUACUUCACCAAGUGGGGUGAGCGCAGGUAACUCUGCAUAGACUCCUCUGGCAAAUACUUUGAAAAAAUGUCAUGUUCAAUUUGUUUGUAAAUAUAAUACUUUUUGUGCAUCUGGAAA